UAAUUCAAUCAACGAAAUCAUAAUUAUUGUCUUUUAUCUUUAUUUAGUUUUUCCGUUUAGAAUUUCCGAUUGUCGACAGAGCAUAGUUUCUCUGCGACUUUCUUUAUCUUUUUUCACUUGAUAAGGGUCUUUCCCUUAUCGCCGGGACCAUGGACGCCGUUGGAGGGCUUGCAGAGUUCUGGGGAAACACUUGCAGAGCAGAUCUCGGGAGUACCUUGUUUUCCCUCAACAUCUCCGAUGUUGCCAUCAACACUGCUGUCGGGGUAGAUGUGAGCGAUGAAAUUGAACAGAGUGAAGGAUCUCAAGACGAGGCAUGUGAGAUGUCGCUUGCAGAGUCAAGGCCGUGGCCGCUGAACCCCGCUCUACAGACAACUCCACCCUUCCUCAACCAGCAGCCUGUUGCUGCCUCCGAUGGGCAUCCACCGAGCCUCUACUCAGCACCUAGCAACCCUAAAUUCAGUUAUGACUCCCUAGAACUAAUUGCUGAUGUUACUGGUGCAUCAAAAAAACCUUGCCCAAUAACUACAAUUGAUCAACUACUUGACCGAGAUCACGUUGGAGCGGAAUGGGUAUUUUUAGAUGAUGAAGAGAAGGUUGGAAUUUUGACAGUAGCGCUAGAGUGCAUGCCAACUGGACCGGAUUACUGGGCGACAACCUACAUUUCUGAUGUCAAUGCACUUAUGAUUUAUUGUCCACGACGACUGAGAUGCUCAACUGUUUGAUGUGCAUUUGAUCCAGGAGGGAAUAGCCCGCCAAAGUGUAUGUUCGCGAUGCUUUUCAUUGUGUUGUGGGUCCCACCUUGAGGACAAGGUGGAUUUUAACCGUGGAGGAGUUGAUACGAGUAUAUCUUCGGAAAUAUCUCUCAUAUCUUUAUUAUUAUAUUAUCAUAUCUUUUCCAUAUAAUUGUUAUCUUAUUCACCAAGUUAGGUUAUUCAUAGGAGUAUUAUAAAUAGGACCUAUUGUUAUUCUCAUAAUUCAAUCAAUGAAAUCAUAAUUAUUGUCUUUUAUCUUUAUUUAGUUUUUCCGUUUAUAAUUUCCGAUUGUCGACAGGGCACGGUUUCUCUGCGACUUUCUUUAUCUUUUUCACUUGAUAAGGGUCUUUCCCUUAUCAUUGUAGCUGUCCUUGAUGGUGAAGGUGGCAAUGAGUACAGAAGGCAACUACUACCAUCAUACAAAACAAAUAGGAAAAAGAUGUUGCAGCAAUUCCCAGCUGCUGAAAGGUCUAUAACGGCUUCUAUUGGAAGAUCGAAGAAACUAGUCAUGGACGUUCUAUGUUCCGGUGAAUACUUUUAGAGUAAGAAUGAAAAGUAUUGAAUUCUGACUUUUACAAGAUA